rnacentral:misc_RNA from 1 species
AACGCACAUUGCGCCCUUUGGUAUUCCGAAGGGCAUGCCUGUUCGAGCGUCAUAAUCAACCCUCAAGCCUGGCUUGGUGUUGGACGUCCGAUCGUCGUGAUGGACGAUCCGUCCCGAAGACAAUGACGGCGUGGCGAGGACCCCCCGGUACAUGGAGCUUUCACGGCACGUACUGGCGUUUGGGCCCCGCGACCCGGCCUCGGUGGACUGCCCUCUGGGCGGUUCGCACGGUUUUUUUCCAAGGUUGACCUCGGAUCAGGUAGGAAUACCCGCUGAACUUAA